rnacentral:ncRNA from 1 species
CAUCGCACGGUCUAGCACCGGCGACGGAUCAUUCAAGUGUCUGCCCUAUCAACUUUCGUCGGUACGGUAUUUGCCUACCGAGGUUCUUACGGGUGACGGGAAUCAGGGUUCGAUUCCGGAGAGGGAGCCUGAGAAACGGCUACCACAUCCAAGGAAGGCAGCAGGCGCGCAAAUUACCCAUUCCCGACGCGGGGAGGUAGUGACGAAAAAUAACAAUGCAGGACUCGUUCGAGGCCCUGUAAUUGGAAUGAGUACACUUUAAAAGCUUUAACGAGUAUCCAUUGGAGGGCAAGUCUGGUGCCAGCAGCCGCGGUAAUUCCAGCUCCAAAAGUAUAUAUUUAAGUUGUUGCGGUUAAAAAGCUCGUAGUUGGAUUUUGGGCGCAGGCGGCCGGUCCGUCGCAAGGCGUGUACUGGACGUCCUGGCCUUCCCUCCGGUUCUCCGCCGGUGCUCUUGACUGAGUGUCGGCGGCGGCCGGAACGUUUACUUUGAAAAAAUUAGAGUGUUCAAAGCAGGCUCUCGAGCCUGGAUAAUGGUGCAUGGAAUAAUGGAAUAGGACCUCGGUUCUAUUUUGUUGGUUUUCGGAGCGCGAGGUAAUGAUUAAGAGGGACAGACGGGGGCAUUCGUACUGUGCCGUUAGAGGUGAAAUUCUUGGAUCGGCGCAAGACGAACGACUGCGAAAGCAUUUGCCAAGAAUGUUUUCUUUAAUCAAGAGCGAAAGUCAGAGGUUCGAAGAGAAUCA